rnacentral:ncRNA from 2 species
CUGGCCACCACCCGCCCCGGUGCCGCACAGGCCGCGCCGGACAUGGCGGAAGUCGCAGCCCUGCUGGACCGGCACCCCCCGGCCGACCUUGCCUAAUGGACUGUAAACGGAGAGUAUUUCAUCUGGCCCCGGGCGGGAAGGGAGACGGAACGCCAUGACCCGUAAGCCAGGAGACCUGCCGCUGUCCCGGACAAUAU